GUCCAGAGUCGAGAUCUCUCUCAAUUGCUGUUGACCCCUCUUCCUUAUGGCCAAAUAGUGGAACUCCCGAAGGGCGUCGUUACUUUUGAUCGCUACAUGAACUACAAAGAAAUAAUGUCAUACAUAGAAGAAUUACCCAGCAAGUAACCCAGAU